rnacentral:rRNA from 1 species
AGUGAACGCUGGCGGUAGGCCUAACACAUGCAAGUCGAGCGGUCCCUUUGGGGGCAGCGGCGGACGGGUGAGUAACGCGUGGGAACCUGGCCUUGGGUGCGGGAUAACGUCGGGAAACUGGCGCUAAUACCGCAUAAUGUCUACUGACCAAAGAUUUAUCGCCCAAGGAUGGGCCCGCGUUGGAUUAGCUAGAUGGUGGGGUAACGCCUACCAUGGCGACGAUCCAUAGCUGGUCUGAGAGGAUGAUCAGCCACACUGGAACUGAGACACGGUCCAGACUCCUACGGGAGGCAGCAGUGGGGAAUAUUGGACAAUGGGCGCAAGCCUGAUCCAGCCAUACCGCGUGGGUGAAGAAGGCCUCGG